AUCAGCCGCGGAAGUCCCGAUGAGGUCGGGAUUGGCCGCCUCGCCCGGCAUGGAUGCCACAUUUUCGGGGGGCCUUCCAGAGGGG